ensembl:lncRNA
CCCUGGGGAGGCACCGUGGGUCCCAAAGACUUGCCCUUUGAAGAUCUUUCAAAAUGAGGAUGAGCGCUUCAUAACGUUUUUUAAAAAUAAUGUGUGACAAAAGCUGAACUACAUAAAAGAAGAGCAGAAUUAGUAAACUGCACUGCUCAUUGGAAAAGAAAAAGUCUCACUAAGGAAUAAAGAAGAGACCAUAACCACAGACACUGUGAGGAUCCGAGAGCAGCAUUCAGCCCCAUCUCCUACAUUGGAAGAAUGGAAAAAGCCAAACAUCCAUCACCUUUUUACUUUGACAAAUACAGUACUGUGUCCCAGCGACCCCAGAGGCUGAUAAUCACAGUGUCCUCCAUGCUGAAAGGGGAACUGAGGAAGGCCAAAAGCUCAUCCACCUUCUACUUAACAAAUCGAACUCAGGACCUUGAGCUUUCGAGGCAGGCAGCGGAACCACUGAGCUAAAUCCCUGGCCGUCAUGUGCCUUUGUACAGCAUGGAUAAUUUGAAUAAUUAAAAGAAAAAAGAAUCCAAGUUCUCUGAACAUAUGGCUGGUAACUAACCUUCCUAAUUCAGCAGAAGUACUCAAGCUUUGGAACACAUCACGCAGAGGUGGUGGGUACUGUUGCCCAAGGCCCCGAGGAGAGACAGCAGAACUGCCUCAGAAGCAGGGGCAGAUUGUCGGGCUCCCAGGUGCCUGUGCUGGUCCCUUGCGGUUAUUCUGAGUUUCCCAGGACUAGUGGAAGAACUGAGGGCAGAGAUGCUGAUCAUCUCUGUCCUGGCCCCACCCCAAGGCUGAUAAUCCGGCGGCCCUCACCUCCCUCUUCCUGCCAUUUCCCAGAGCCAUGGAACUCCACAUGUCCUGCUACAAACAGCUGUCACUGCUCACUGGGGGAGCUGAGCCCAGAAAAGCGGCCCUUCCACAUCAGCUCACCUGGGAGAGGUGUUAGCAUCAUCCAGGGAUCAGGAGCCCUAGUAACGGGGAGUGCACAAACCCUGUUUCGUCUGAAUGCCCAAUGAGCAAGACACAUGGGUCACAAGGGACCUCGGAGGGAGAAGCCUCCUGCUGGGUCUGGGGGGGCUCCCUUCUGUAAUCCCAGCACCCAGGAGGCUGAGGCAGAUGGACCUCUUUGAGUAGGAAAUAUAUCUUAGAUCCUAAGGUUAUGAAUGGGGGACUCAGAAGUUAACUGUAUCACACUCAUAUGGCAGGUGCUAUGUGUCCUCGAACUCAAUUCUUUAAUCCAGGCCCAAAUAGAACAAAGAGGCAAAUAUUGCUGUAACCCAGAAAGAUCACCACUGUGCCCCUCUGCUGUUCCAGCUCCAUAGUCUGUGCCAGGCGUGCCCGGGGCUCUCUUAAAGCUGCUCCCUCAUCACUCCACGUCACCACAGUCUUAAACACCCAGAUCCUUCAUCUCCCAGCCCCUGUAUCCCCUUGCAGUACCCCAACUUCCAGAAUAAAUUCUGCUAUGGUCACUUAUUUUAUUUGACUAUUAUUUUUUGAGGGAGGGGAGUUGAGGUAAAGUCUUGCUUUGUGUCCAGGCUGACCUUGAGCUCACUAUGUAGCCAAG